rnacentral:rRNA from 1 species
GAUGAACGCUAGCUACAGGCUUAACACAUGCAAGUCGAGGGGCAGCAUAAAUCUAGCAAUAGAUUUGAUGGCGACCGGCGCACGGGUGAGUAACACGUAUCCAACCUACCUAUUACUCGGGUAUAGCCUUUCGAAAGAAAGAUUAAUCCCCGAUACGAUAUUGAGUUCGCAUGAAUUUGAUAUGAAAGAUUUAUUGGUAUUAGAUGGGGAUGCGUUCCAUUAGAUUGUUGGUGAGGUAACGGCUCACCAAGUCUUCGAUGGAUAGGGGUUCUGAGAGGAAGGUCCCCCACACUGGAACUGAGACACGGUCCAGACUCCUACGGGAGGCAGCAGUGAGGAAUAUUGGUCAAUGGGCGAGAGCCUGAACCAGCCAAGUAGCGUGAGGGAUGACUGCCCUAUGGGUUGUAAACCUCUUUUAUAAGGGAAUAAAACGCUCCACGUGUGGAGCUUUGCAUGUACCUUUUGAAUAAGGAUCGGCUAACUCCGUGCCAGCCGCCGCAGUAACAC